UACGUAGGGUGCGAGCGUUGUCCGGAAUCACUGGGCGUAAAGGGCGCGUAGGUGGCCCGACAAGUCUGUGGUGAAAGCUCGACGCUCAACGUCGAGUCGGCCAUAGAUACUGUUGGGCUGGAGCACUGUAGAGGCUCAUGGAAUUCCGGGUGUAGCGGUGGAAUGCGUAGAGAUCCGGAAGAACACCGGUGGCGAAGGCGGUGAGCUGGGCAGUAGCUGACACUGAGGCGCGACAGCGUGGGGGAGCAACAGG
rnacentral:rRNA from 1 species